rnacentral:rRNA from 1 species
GGGGGGGAUGACGGCCUUCGGGGUUGUAAACCCCUUUUCCAGUAGGAAGAAGCGAGAGUGACGGUACCUGCAGAAGAAGCGCCGGCUAAUUACGUGCCAGCAGCCGCGGUAAUACGUAGGGCGCAAGCGUUGUCCGGAAAUUAUUGGGCGUAAAGAGCUUGUAGGUGGCUUGUCGCGUCUGCCGUGAAAACCCCGAGGCUCAACCUCGGGCGUGCGGUGGGUACGGGCAGGCUAGAGUGUGGUAGGGGAGACUGGAACUCCUGGUGUAGCGGUGAAAUGCGCAGAUAUCAGGAAGAACACCGAUGGCGAAGGCAGGUCUCUGGGCCAUUACUGACACUGAGAAGCGAAAGCAUGGGUAGCGAACAGGAUUAGAUACCCUGGUAGUCCAUGCCGUAAACGUUGGGCACUAGGUGUGGGGGACAUUCCACGUUUUCCGCGCCGUAGCUAACGCAUUAAGUGCCCCGCCUGGGGAGUACGGCCGCAAGGCUAAAACUCAAAGGAAUUGACGGGGGCCCGCACAAGCGGCGGAGCAUGCUGAUUAAUUCGAUGCAACGCGAAGAACCUUACCAAGGCUUGACAUGCACUGGACGGCUGCAGAGAUGUGGCUUUCUUUGGACUGGUGCACAGGUGGUGCAUGGUUGUCGUCAGCUCGUGUCGUGAGAUGUUGGGUUAAGUCCCGCAACGAGCGCAACCCUCGUUCUAUGUUGCCAGCACGUGAUGGUGGGGACUCAUAGGAGACUGCCGGGGUCAACUCGGAGGAAGGUGGGGACGACGUCAAAUCAUCAUGCCCCUUAUGUCUUGGGCUUCAAGCAUGCUACAAUGGCCGGUACAAUGGGUUGCGAAACUGUGAGGUGGAGCGAAUCCCAAAAAGCCGGCCUCAGUUCGGAUUGGGGUCUGCAACUCGACCCCAUGAAGUCGGAGUCGCUAGUAAUCGCAGAUCAGCAACGCUGCGGUGAAUACGUUCCCGGGCCUUGUACACACCGCCCGUCAAGUCACGAAAGUCGGUAACACCCGAAGCCAGUGGCCCAUCCUCGUGAGGGAGCUGUCUAAAGGGUG